GAUGAACGCUGGCGGCGUGCCUAAUACAUGCAAGUCGAGCGAACGGACGAGAAGCUUGCUUCUCUGAUGUUAGCGGCGGACGGGUGAGUAACACGUGGAUAACCUACCUAUAAGACUGGGAUAACUUCGGGAAACCGUAGCUAAUACCGGAUAAUAUUUUGAGCCGCAUGGUUCAAAAGUGAAAGACGGUCUUGCUGUCACUUAUAGAUGGAUCCGCGCUGCAUUAGCUAGUUGGUAAGGUAACGGCUUACCAAGGCAACGAUGCAUAGCCGACCUGAGAGGGGGAUCGGCCACACGGGAACUGAGACGCGGUCCAGACUCCUACGGGAGGCAGCAGUAGGGAAUCUUCCGCAAUGGGCGAAAGCCUGACGGAGCAACGCCGCGUGAGUGAUGAAGGUCUUCGGAUCGUAAAACUCUGUUAUUAGGGAAGAACAUAUGUGUAAGUAACUGUGCACAUCUUGACGGUACCUAAUCAGAAAGCCACGGCUAACUACGUG
rnacentral:rRNA from 1 species